GGGAGGGAGGGUGCUGCAGAUUUCUAGUGGGUAGAGGCCGGGGAUGCCGCUAAACAUCCUGCAAUGCUCAGGACAGCUCUCCACAACAAACACUCACACCAUGCAAAUGUCCAUAGUGCCCAACUUGGAAACUGUUCUUCGUAUGUGUUAACACAAAAAAUCCUCAUAGGAACGCAUGUGGGAGUACCAUCUUUAUUUUCCUGGUUU
rnacentral:lncRNA from 1 species